rfam:Triticum aestivum genome assembly, contig: Triticum_aestivum_CS42_TGACv1_scaffold_306187_4AS
GCCUUGAUGGUGAAAUGGUAGAGACGCGAGACUCAAAAUCUCAUGCUGAAGAGCGUGGAGGUUCGAGUCCUCUUCAAGGCA